GGUUAAGCGACUAAGCGUACACGGUGGAUGCCCUGGCAGUCAGAGGCGAUGAAGGACGUGCUAAUCUGCGAUAAGCGUCGGUAAGGUGAUAUGAACCGUUAUAACCGGCGAUUUCCGAAUGGGGAAACCCAGUGUGUUUCGACACACUAUCAUUAACUGAAUCCAUAGGUUAAUGAGGCGAACCGGGGGAACUGAAACAUCUAAGUACCCCGAGGAAAAGAAAUCAACCGAGAUUCCCCCAGUAGCGGCGAGCGAACGGGGAGCAGCCCAGAGCCUGAAUCAGUGUGUGUGUUAGUGGAAGCGUCUGGAAAGGCGCGCGAUACAGGGUGACAGCCCCGUACACAAAAAUGCACAUGCUGUGAGCUCGAUGAGUAGGGCGGGACACGUGGUAUCCUGUCUGAAUAUGGGGGGACCAUCCUCCAAGGCUAAAUACUCCUGACUGACCGAUAGUGAACCAGUACCGUGAGGGAAAGGCGAAAAGAACCCCGGCGAGGGGAGUGAAAAAGAACCUGAAACCGUGUACGUACAAGCAGUGGGAGCACGCUUAGGCGUGUGACUGCGUACCUUUUGUAUAAUGGGUCAGCGACUUAUAUUCUGUAGCAAGGUUAACCGAAUAGGGGAGCCGAAGGGAAACCGAGUCUUAACUGGGCGUUAAGUUGCAGGGUAUAGACCCGAAACCCGGUGAUCUAGCCAUGGGCAGGUUGAAGGUUGGGUAACACUAACUGGAGGACCGAACCGACUAAUGUUGAAAAAUUAGCGGAUGACUUGUGGCUGGGGGUGAAAGGCCAAUCAAACCGGGAGAUAGCUGGUUCUCCCCGAAAGCUAUUUAGGUAGCGCCUCGUGAAUUCAUCUCCGGGGGUAGAGCACUGUUUCGGCAAGGGGGUCAUCCCGACUUACCAACCCGAUGCAAACUGCGAAUACCGGAGAAUGUUAUCACGGGAGACACACGGCGGGUGCUAACGUCCGUCGUGAAGAGGGAAACAACCCAGACCGCCAGCUAAGGUCCCAAAGUCAUGGUUAAGUGGGAAACGAUGUGGGAAGGCCCAGACAGCCAGGAUGUUGGCUUAGAAGCAGCCAUCAUUUAAAGAAAGCGUAAUAGCUCACUGGUCGAGUCGGCCUGCGCGGAAGAUGUAACGGGGCUAAACCAUGCACCGAAGCUGCGGCAGCGACACUAUGUGUUGUUGGGUAGGGGAGCGUUCUGUAAGCCUGUGAAGGUGUGCUGUGAGGCAUGCUGGAGGUAUCAGAAGUGCGAAUGCUGACAUAAGUAACGAUAAAGCGGGUGAAAAGCCCGCUCGCCGGAAGACCAAGGGUUCCUGUCCAACGUUAAUCGGGGCAGGGUGAGUCGACCCCUAAGGCGAGGCCGAAAGGCGUAGUCGAUGGGAAACAGGUUAAUAUUCCUGUACUUGGUGUUACUGCGAAGGGGGGACGGAGAAGGCUAUGUUGGCCGGGCGACGGUUGUCCCGGUUUAAGCGUGUAGGCUGGUUUUCCAGGCAAAUCCGGAAAAUCAAGGCUGAGGCGUGAUGACGAGGCACUACGGUGCUGAAGCAACAAAUGCCCUGCUUCCAGGAAAAGCCUCUAAGCAUCAGGUAACAUCAAAUCGUACCCCAAACCGACACAGGUGGUCAGGUAGAGAAUACCAAGGCGCUUGAGAGAACUCGGGUGAAGGAACUAGGCAAAAUGGUGCCGUAACUUCGGGAGAAGGCACGCUGAUAUGUAGGUGAAGUCCCUUGCGGAUGGAGCUGAAAUCAGUCGAAGAUACCAGCUGGCUGCAACUGUUUAUUAAAAACACAGCACUGUGCAAACACGAAAGUGGACGUAUACGGUGUGACGCCUGCCCGGUGCCGGAAGGUUAAUUGAUGGGGUCAGCGCAAGCGAAGCUCUUGAUCGAAGCCCCGGUAAACGGCGGCCGUAACUAUAACGGUCCUAAGGUAGCGAAAUUCCUUGUCGGGUAAGUUCCGACCUGCACGAAUGGCGUAAUGAUGGCCAGGCUGUCUCCACCCGAGACUCAGUGAAAUUGAACUCGCUGUGAAGAUGCAGUGUACCCGCGGCAAGACGGAAAGACCCCGUGAACCUUUACUAUAGCUUGACACUGAACAUUGAGCCUUGAUGUGUAGGAUAGGUGGGAGGCUUUGAAGUGUGGACGCCAGUCUGCAUGGAGCCGACCUUGAAAUACCACCCUUUAAUGUUUGAUGUUCUAACGUUGACCCGUAAUCCGGGUUGCGGACAGUGUCUGGUGGGUAGUUUGACUGGGGCGGUCUCCUCCUAAAGAGUAACGGAGGAGCACGAAGGUUGGCUAAUCCUGGUCGGACAUCAGGAGGUUAGUGCAAUGGCAUAAGCCAGCUUGACUGCGAGCGUGACGGCGCGAGCAGGUGCGAAAGCAGGUCAUAGUGAUCCGGUGGUUCUGAAUGGAAGGGCCAUCGCUCAACGGAUAAAAGGUACUCCGGGGAUAACAGGCUGAUACCGCCCAAGAGUUCAUAUCGACGGCGGUGUUUGGCACCUCGAUGUCGGCUCAUCACAUCCUGGGGCUGAAGUAGGUCCCAAGGGUAUGGCUGUUCGCCAUUUAAAGUGGUACGCGAGCUGGGUUUAGAACGUCGUGAGACAGUUCGGUCCCUAUCUGCCGUGGGCGCUGGAGAACUGAGGGGGGCUGCUCCUAGUACGAGAGGACCGGAGUGGACGCAUCACUGGUGUUCGGGUUGUCAUGCCAAUGGCACUGCCCGGUAGCUAAAUGCGGAAGAGAUAAGUGCUGAAAGCAUCUAAGCACGAAACUUGCCCCGAGAUGAGUUCUCCCUGACUCCUUGAGAGUCCUGAAGGAACGUUGAAGACGACGACGUUGAUAGGCCGGGUGUGUAAGCGCAGCGAUGCGUUGAGCUAACCGGUACUAAUGAACCGUGAGGCUUAACCUU
rnacentral:rRNA from 1 species